CCUAACAUGGAUUUUGUCAAAUUUAUUGAACAACAGACAUGCACUAGAGCUUGCCCAACAAGAACUAGACCUCAAAGUUGGAAGAGAAAGAUGUGUACAAGAUUCUGACAUAGAAAAAUUAGUAUACCUUCAAGCCGUUAUUAAAGAAACAUUGCGAUUAUACCCACCAGGUCCACUUGCAGUUCCACAUGAAGCAGUAGAGGAUUGUUACAUUUCUAGGUAUUAUAUUCCGAAAGGAACUCGAAUAUUUGCAAAUUUGUGGAAAUUACAUAGAGAUCCAAAUGUUUGGUCGAAUCCUGACGAGUUCUUGCCAGAAAGAUUUCUUGCUAAUGAAGGUAAAAAUGUAGAUUUUUCUGGUCAGAAUUUUGAGUAUAUACCAUUUGGAUCCGGAAGAAGGUCUUGUCCUGGUAUUAAUUUUGCAAUACAAGCAAUACAUAUGACUGUUGCUAGGUUACUUCAAGCAUUUAGUUUCACAACACCAUUUGAUCAGGCUGUGGAUAUGACUGAAGGUAUAGGUAUUACCUUGCCUAAGGCUACUCCUUUGGAAAUUCAGAUCACUCCACGUCUUUCUUCUGCAUUAUAUGAAUACUAGUUGGUAGAUUUAAGUCCAAAGUUAUCAUUUUUGGGGUUUAUGGAAGUUGUGCACUAUGAAUUGAAUUAUUUCAAUUUGCUUAUAUGAAUAAAUCAACUUUGGUCCAAUAUUUAUUCGAGUAUAAUUUUUUUUUACUCAACUAGAAGUAUGAGACUAAUCUCGUUUCGGGAUUGUGUCUGCUUCUUCUUUAUAAAUUUUAUUUUAUAAAUUAUAGAGAUCGUCUAUUGUUUUUAAACAUGCUUACCAUUUGAUUUGCUUCUCAUGGCUUAUUGAAAUCAUUUAUAAAACUAUAAGAUUCUAGGUAAGAAGCCACUAAUUUAUUAGAUUAAGUUUAGGAGACAAAUUUGAAAAAAAAAAAAAAAAAAAAAGAUUAAUCGGAUUAAUUCAAGCCCAAACUAAGUAGAGUUAGACUAUCAUUUCUCGUUUUGUGAUAAUAGCAAUGGGUUGGACUGAAACCGUGAUAAAUCCAGCCCGUUGGCAAAUUUAAACCUUAAACUAAGCUUGACCCAACCUAUAUCUUAAGGUUUGAUUCAACCUAACCUAGCUCCUUCCUAUAUUUAUUAAUUGUUGAAUGAUAUUGAGUAUGAUAGAUGAAUUCAAUUUUUUUUUUUUUAGCCAUUUGAUAUUAUAGACCUGUUCAGCAAAAUUAACUAUUUUGACAGCUUUUCAUGAAAAGCAUUUAGCUUUUUGAGAACUUAUAAGGGACGGUACAACCAAUGAGAAAAAUGAAUAUCAAUUGAAAUUAAAUGUUAUAUUAUCAAGAAUCAAACCUAGAAACGUGGUCCCAGACUUCACCCUUACCACUAGGCUACAAGUCAUUUGUAAUGAAUUCAAAUUUAACUUCAAAAAUUGCAAAGUAAUAAAUACACCAUUAUUGGGAUCAAUCUUGAAACAAAUGUGUGGAUAUAAAUGGACAGACUAUCUAUCUGAGUGGGAAUUUUUCCCCUCAGUUUUUGUAAUAUAUAUAUUAAUAAAAUAUAAUUAGUUAAGUGUUUAAUUUAAUUAAUUAAUUAAAAUUGAUAUAAUAUUAAGAAAUCACAUAUACAUUACGAUAAAAACAUAAAUUGAGUAACAUAAUAAAUAGAAUCACAGUCAUUACUCAUUAAUAUUCUUCUUUCAAUAACUUAAACAAAAAUCUUAUUUUGACUACAUUAAAAACUAAUUUCCAAUUUAAUUUUUUUUAUGUGAAUAUAGAAUGCUUUUAACUUCUAUUUUUGUUUUAUUUUUCAUAGAAAAAGAGUUGAAUUUCAUUUUUUAAAGAGAUAAAUUAAAUAAGAAGAUAAUAAAAUGAUAUUAUUUCGUCAAUUUUCAACAACGUACUUAUCCCUUCAAUAUAUGGCCUCAUAAUUUUAAAAUUUCCUUAUUUAUAUACUUACAUAUUAUCUUUUUCAUAGGUAAAAAUAAAAUUUAUCUUAAUUAUAUGAAAAUUUUAAUAUAUCAAAGCACUAACAUAUAGCAUAUUAUUAAAAGUUUAACUAAUUAUUUAUUUUUAUUUCCAUGAAAAUUCCUAAAUUUAUUUUUGUCCCUUCAAGGUUAAAAGAUUUAGCCAAAAAGUAAUUAAUUAAACAUGAGAAACAACAGAAAAGGAAACUUCAUGUGGCUUUUUAAGGUGCAUAGCAUGAUGCAUCUUUCUUUAAAUAUUUCUAAUUUCUAAUUUUAAAUUUCUAAAGCAUUUAUCAUCGAAAGCAAUCGGUGCUUAGAUAAUUUUCUAUGAUCCUAUCACAAUGUAGACAAUUAAUCCAAUGGAAAGAGAAAUUCGUGACUUUCGCCAACUUAUGAAAGAGACGUUGAUGGAAAAUGUCCCCUCUCCUAUUUAUUUAUUUAUUAUCCGAAAAUGAUAUUUUUAGUUUGCGAAAUAUAAUUGCUAUGUCCCUAUCUUUUAGAAAAUAGAUUAAAACAUUUUUAUAGUUUAUUUCCGUCAGACUAUAAGGUUAUUCCGUUCAAUUUUUGUAUUUUUUCUAUUAAGUACCUUAUCAAAUGAAGAAAAUAUCCAUUUUAUUUUUUAAAAUACAAAGAGGGACUAGCUGUAUUUUUCAAACCGUAGAGACGUACUCUAAAUUUUUUAGUAUAAUAUUUUAGUAUAUUUCCUUUUUUACCUUUGUGUUUUCUUGUUGACUUAACGAAAAAUAUGCAAAAAUUGAAUAAAAUGACCUAAUAGUAUAACGGAAGUAAAAUAUAGGGACAAAUUGAUAUAUUUAAAAAAAGAUAGAGACGAACUAAUUGUAUUUCGCAAACUAUAAGUAUCAUACUAUAACUUUUUCUUUAUUAUAUAAAUGAGGGGAUAAAAUCCGGAAGAAGAAUAAAACUAAGAUUAAAAUAUGCCCCAAAUGUAGCUAAACUAUCCUUUCAUAUGCAUCUAACAAUAUUCGUAAUCACUAAAUUAAUGUUAUUAUAAUAUUUAUUUUUUAUUUUUAAACAUUCGGUAUCCAAAGUUCAUUUAUAAAAUUAAUCUAGAUUUACGUCGAAAGCCCAAAAAGGAAUCAAAAUAUUUCCUUCUAAAUAUUUAAAGAGACUUCACAUUUAGAGCUUAAACUCGAAACUUCUAUUUUACCCAUCGACAUCUUAUAAUACUGUUAUAUCAUAAUAAUUAAUAACGAAACCCUAAAACUACAGGUUUGAAAUUUUCAAUAUUAUGACUACUAACGAGAACCACACAUUCACUGAAUUGACUAAUACUAGGAAGAAUUAAAAUAACAGCCAACCAAAUUAUACAUACCCAAAUUUAUUAUUAUAAUUUUCUCUCUAAAUUCUUAGAGAGCUCAAAAGUUACCAUUAGUAAUAUUUUACAGGAUCCUAAAAGCAAUUUGCUGAAAGUCUUUUUUUUUUUUUUUUUUUUUUUUUUUUUUCUUGGUCAAACUUUAAUUUUUUUUUUUUGCUUGGUCAAACUUUAAUUUCUCAGUACCUUCUCUACUCAAUUUAACUAUUGAUUUCCACCCACACACACAAACUAAAAAUUAAAUCAUCAUGGACAUCUCUUCUCAUCUACUGGCAAUUUCAGUGGCUGUAUCAGUAAUACUUGUAUUAUACAAGUACAAUCAAUGGAGGUUAAGAGAUCAUAGCCAUAAAAAUAAAGGCUUGUUAGCCCCUGAACCAUUUGGAGCCUUGCCAAUCCUUGGUCAUCUCCAUCUACUAGGCGCUGAGAAAACCCUUGCUCGAACCUUGGCUCUCCUAGCCGAUAAGUAUGGUCCCAUCUUCACAAUCUGGCUCGGUGUACACCGUACGGUUGAAGUCAGCAGUCAUGAAGCAAUUAAAGAAUGCUUCACAGCAAAUGACAAAGUCUUGGCUUCCAGGCCUAAAUCAAGCCAUGGAAAGUACUUAAGUUACAACUAUGCAGCUUUUGGAUUUGCAUCCUACGGUCCUUAUUGGCGUGAUAUGCGAAAAUUAGUUGUUAUUCAACUCCUUUCAAGUCAUAGAUUAAAGUCGUUGAAGCAUGUUCAGGUCUCUGAGGUGAACACUCUGAUUAAAGAUUUGUACUUGCUUUCUUUGAAUCAACCAAGCUCGAACAAGAUUGUUAUUAGUGAAUUUUUCGAACAUUUGACUUUAAAUAUGAUUACAAGAAUGAUUGCAGGGAAGAGAUAUUGUAAUUGUAAUGGUGGAAACGAUGAAGAAGGGAUAAGAAUAGGGAAACUGAUGAAGGAAUUUAUGUAUGUUUCAGGUGUUUUUGUUCCUUCAGAUGUAAUCCCAUUUUUAUGGUGGAUGAACUUUUUAGGACCUGUGAAAGCUAUGAAGCGUCUGUCAAAAGAAUUGGAUUCUCUUUUGCAAACUUGGAUUGAUGAACAUAAACUGAAGGGAAUCAAUAAGAGAAGAGAUGGUGGUGGUGGUGGUGGUGAUUUCAAGAACAUAGAGGAGGACUUCAUUGAUGUGAUGCUAUCGAUAUUAGAGGAUAAUUUCUUUGGUCACUCACGGGACGACAUCAUCAAAGGAACUGUAAUGGUAAGUUUCCGUUUAAUCUAAACUUAUGUUUCAUACGACGUAAUAAAAUAUUUUAUUUAUUUAUUUAUUGUAAUUAUUAUCUAGAUUUGAUAUAUGAUGUCAUUAGGGAAAUGGACAAAUUGGUUUUAAUUGAAAAAUCAAAUAGAACAGAUUUAAAUGGAUUUUUGAUGUUUAAUAGUUUACUUCAGUUUAUUAAUUUAAAAUAUUUGAUUAUUGAACUGAACCAAAAUAAUUACGUUGUUAUGUAAUAUUUAAUAUUAAUUUUAUAAUUUUUAUUCAAUAGUUUACCAAACUUUUUAAAAUUUUGUUAAUCGAUUGACUGAACCAAAAUAUUUUAGUUUCUUAGUAAUUAUAUUUCGGUUUGAUUUUUAUAAAGAAUAAAGUUCAAUUUACAGUUUGAUUGGUUUGAUUCGAUUAAUUGUAUAAAUGUAAUUGGAUAUAAUAUAAUAUAAUGUAAUGUGGGCCAAUUAGUUAGUAAAUUAUUAGCUAGUAGAAAAGCUUCAAUAAUGGACGACACAAUUAUGCAUAUGAAUGAAACCAAUGAUAUAUAAUAUGCUGUUAUUGCUUGAAAGGUACUUGCUUUUUUUUUUAUAUAUAUAUAAAUAUAAUUCAUUAAUAAUAAUAUCAAGAAUUACAAAUAAGCAUAGAGAUCAAAUAUAGAACUUUGCUAUUAAUAGAUAAUGGAGUUCGCUAAUCUUUUACUGAAAUAAAGGAAUUUAUAUCCUUUUAAAUAAUGAAAUUAAAAUUAAAAAAUAUAAUAUUAAAUAUUUCCGUUUAGAGUUAAUCUUGACAAAAGAUAUUCGCGUUUGCUUGUUAGUAAUUUAAUUGUUUGUAAUGUGAAGCUGUGGUGAAAGUUCCAUAAUUAAAUUGAAUUUAGGGGGAUAUAUCCGGCAGUUUUGAUUGAGAGAUAAAAAUUAUUUUUAUACAUUUAAUAAAAGGUGUGUCUUGUUCUAUCUCGUGUCAGUAUUUAGUAUUUUUUUUUUUUUUUGAACUUGUUAACUUUAAAAAAUGAAAAAUAUAAUUUUAAUUAACAAGUAAUUGAAAUCUCAUCAGUAAAGGAAACAAAUACCCAUUAAUAAUUAAUUAGUGUUUGAACAAAAACCCAUUUCUCAAAUAACUACAAAAGAUUCAUGCAAUCAUCUUAGGCAUUGAGGAUAAGUAAGUUAAUCUCAAUGUGAAAAUUGCUAAACUCAUUUUACAACAUUAGUUUGUUCUUAAUUAAUUAAGGUCAAUGUAAUGUUAAUACUCUCAAUUAUAUGCUUGCAGACUCUUAUAAUUGCAGGAGCUGAUACAACAUCCAUAACCCUAACAUGGAUUUUGUCAAAUUUAUUGAACAACAGACAUGCACUAGAGCUUGCCCAACAAGAACUAGACCUCAAAGUUGGAAAAGAAAGAUGUGUGCAAGAUUCUGAUAUAGAAAAUUUAGUAUACCUUCAAGCUGUUGUUAAAGAAACACUGCGACUAUACCCACCAGGUCCACUUGCAGUUCCGCAUGAAGCAAUAAACGACUGUUACAUUUCUG
rnacentral:lncRNA from 1 species